rnacentral:rRNA from 1 species
GACAGAGGGUGCAAACGUUGUUCGGAAUUACUGGGCGUAAAGCGUGUGUAGGCGGUCUCAUAAGUCGGAUGUGAAAGCCCCGGGCUCAACCCGGGAAGUGCAUUCGAAACUGCGAGGCUAGAGUAUCGGAGAGGUUGGUGGAAUUCUCGGUGUAGAGGUGAAAUGCGUAGAGAUCGGGAGGAACAUCAGUGGCGAAGGCGGCCAUCUGGAUCAACACUGACGCUGAAGCACGAAAGCGUGGGGAGCAAACAGG